GUAGGGAAUAUUGCGCAAUGGACGAAAGUCUGACGCAGCGACGCCGCGUGAGUGAUGAAGGCCUUAGGGUCGUAAAGCUCUGUUGAAUGGGAAGAAAAAAAUGACGGUACCAUUCGAGGAAGGACCGGCUAACUUCGUGCCAGCAGCCGCGGUAAUACGAGGGGUCCUAGCGUUGUUCGGAAUCAUUGGGCGUAAAGGGUAUGUAGGUGGCCAUGUAAGUCAGGUGUGAAAGCCCCGGGCUCAACCCGGGAAGUGCACUUGAUACUGCGUGGCUUGAGUACCGAAGAGGGUAGUGGAAUUCCAGGUGUAGUGGUGAAAUACGUAGAUAUCUGGAGGAACACCGGUGGCGAAGGCGGCUACCUGGUCGAGUACUGACACUGAGACACGAAAGCAUGGGGAUCAAACAGGAUUAGAAACCCCAGUAGUCC
rnacentral:rRNA from 1 species